rnacentral:rRNA from 1 species
AGCUCCAAUAGUGUAUAUUAAUGUUGUUGUGGUUAAAAAGCUCGUAGUUGGAUUUCGGCGGGUAGUGGCUGGUUCGAAUUGAUUCGACACUGGCUUUUUUACCCGUGUGUUUGGCUACAACCUGGCGGGUGCUCUUAAUCGAGUGUCCGUCGGGGGUGGCAGGUUUACUUUGAAAAAAUUAGAGUGCUCAAAGCAAGCUUGACUGCUUGAAUAUUCGUGCAUGGAAUAAUAGAAUAGGAGGUCGUUUCUAUUUUGUUGGUUUUCGGAAAUCGACUUAAUGAUUAAUAGGGAUAGUCGGGGGCAUUUGUAUUCAAACGACAGAGGUGAAAUUCUUGGACCGUUUGAAGACAAACUACUGCGAAAGCAUUUGCCAAGAAUGUUUUCA